AGAAUUUUCAAGAAUUCAACUGCCUAUGGUCAGAUCUACAGAAGGAAACUAACUAUCGGUCCUAUAAGUGUUGUGAUUUAGUUACAUAUAUAUUUUGCUGCAAAAUUUAGAUCAAGGCACCCUUCGAAUACUGACAGAGUUAUGUCCUUGUAUCUAGUGGUAUACAAAUACAAGAAAGAAAAAAGUUACACAACAUAAUACUCUUGCAUCACAUAUUUAAUGAACAUGCUAAGAAGCUAAAUAUUCUAGUCAAUUGUUAAUGGCCACUCCAACUU
rnacentral:misc_RNA from 1 species